rnacentral:sRNA from 1 species
AUCUUGGCGGCGGAGCGAUGAGCGGGUCUAACCCGAAGGCUGCGGCCGCGGCGUCGGCGGCUGGGCCCGGGGGGCUGGUGGCUGGCAAGGAGGAGAAGAAGAAGGCGGGCGGCGGCGUCCUGAACCGCCUGAAGGCGCGGCGGCAGGCGCCCCACCACGCGGCCGACGACGGCGUCGGGGCAGCGGUCACGGAGCAGGAGCUGCUGGCGCUGGACACCAUCCGGCCCGAGCACGUCCUGCGCCUCAGCCGGGUCACCGAGAGUGAGUGCCGCGCGGGCCGCGCCCUCCCCUCGCGCCGUGCCCCGGCUCCCGGAGCCUUCAGCGGACCCGGCCACUUGACCAGAGCGGGGGUCCCCCCCAGACCCCUUCGGCCGGCCGGGCCGCGCUUCCCGCUGCCCCGCCGGCCGGGCUUUGCCCCCGCCACGCUCACGUAGCUCUGGUGGGGAAGGACUCCUGGGCUGGACCGCAUUCCUGUGAGUCCGGCCACGCUAGGAUGCCCUUCGGCCGGUCGGCUCCCCAGCUCUGCCGGACCUGUUUGGGUAGAGGGCCCCGUUCAGCUGAACUGGAUCCUCCUGAGCCGGCCGGGGGCCGAGGUCCCCUAAUAAAUGGGCCCCUGGGCCCUCAACCUGGAACCCCCGGCCAUCAGUGAAGUUCCCGCUCAGCCAGGCCCCCCCAGCCCUCUGGCAGGCCAGAAGCCUUACCUGCUUCCUCCGCCCCGGCCCCAUGGCAGCCCUCCCCCGUUGCAGCCUGCCCGGCCUCCCUCCCUCUUUGGGUCGGGAGCGUUGCCCCUUAGUGUGCAGAUGGGUUCUUCCUCAAAACACAUAGCCGUGGCAUUUCCUGCUCAUUUAAAACUGUGCCACAUUAAAACAAAAAUAAAGUUUCAGUUUGUGUACA